UGAGCAACCUGCCCUUCAGAGGGGGACAACAGUUGGAAACGACUGCUAAUACCGCAUAACAUAUCCGGGAGGCAUCUCCUGGAUAUCAAAGAUUUAUCGCUGAAGGAUGGGCUCAUGUCUGAUUAGCUAGUUGGUGGGGUAACGGCCCACCAAGGCUGCGAUCAGUAGCCGGUCUGAGAGGAUGAACGGCCACAUUGGGACUGAGAUACGGCCCAGACUCCUACGGAAGGCAGCAG
rnacentral:rRNA from 1 species